UACGGAGGGAGCUAGCGUUAUUCGGAAUUACUGGGCGUAAAGCGCACGUAGGCGGCUUUGUAAGUAAGAGGUGAAAGCCCAGGAGCAUCAACUCUGGAAUUGCCUUUUAGACUGCAUCGCUUGAAUACAUGGAGAGGUCAGUGGAAUUCCGAGUGUAGAGGUGAAAUUCGUAGAUAUUCGGAAGAACACCAGUGGCGAAGGCGGCUGACUGGACAUGUAUUGACGCUGAGGUGCGAAAGCGUGGGGAGCAAACAGG
rnacentral:rRNA from 1 species